GGUAACUCCGAUGUCCCAGAACGUAUCUGCCACCCGUAACGAGUGCAGUAUGAAUUGCUAGCCCAGCGUGUAAUCAUGGAAAUCCGCGUACUGGACUCAUGUACUGCAGCCUUGGUUCUUAAGGGGUGGAAUCCAGGGACGGGAAUGGUAAGAUUGGGGAAUACGUGGCGAAGGCGGCCCCUGGCGAAAAUAAGCCCAGGGCGGAACGUGGGAGCAACAGAUUUAAACCCUGGUAUUCCCCCCGUAACGAUUUGAUUGAGGUGGGCCCUGAGGGUGCUUCCGGAGUUACCGUUAGUCGGCGCCCGGGAAUCGGCCGCCAAGGUUAAACUCAAAGAAUGACCGGGGCCGCACCAACGGUGGAGCAAUGUGGUUAAUUCGAUGCAACGCGGAAGACCUUACCUGGGCCUUGACCUCCCAGAGAAAUUAGCAAGAGAUGGCUUGGUGCCCUUCGGGAACUUUGAGAACAGGUGCUGCAUGGCUGUCGUCAGGUUGUGUUGUGAAAAUGUUGGGUUAAGUCCCGCCAACGAGCGCAACCCUUAUCCUUUGUUGCCAGCGACUCGGUCGGGAACUCAAAGGAGACUGCCGGUGAUAAACCGGAGGAAGGUGGGGAUGACGUCAAGUCAUCAUGGCCCUUACGGCCAGGGCUACACACGUGCUACAAUGGCGCAUACAAAGAGAAGCGACCUCGCGAGAGCAAGCGGACCUCAUAAAGUGCGUCGUAGUCCGGAUUGGAGUCUGCAACUCGACUCCAUGAAGUCGGAAUCGCUAGUAAUCGUAGAUCAGAAUGCUACGGUGAAUACGUUCCCGGGCCUUGUACACACCGCCCGUCACACCAUGGGAGUGGGUUGCAAAAGAAGUAGGUAGCUAACUCGGAGGCGCUUGUGACGUGGAUUCGU
rnacentral:rRNA from 1 species